GACGAACGCUGGCGGCGUGCUUAACACAUGCAAGUCGAACGGUGAAGCGCUUUCCUUUUUGGUUGGUGUGGAUGAGUGGCGAACGGGUGAGUAACACGUGAGUAACCUGCCCCCUUCUUCUGGAUAACCGCAUGAAAGUGUGGCUAAUACGGGAUAUUCUGCGCCUGCUGCAUGGUGGGUGUGGGAAAGAUUGUGCCUUUGGGUGUUUUCGGUGGGGGAUGGGCUCGCGGCCUAUCAGCUUGUUGGUGGGGUGAUGGCCUACCAAGGCGGUGAUGGGUAGCCGGCCUGAGAGGGUGGACGGUCACACUGGGACUGAGACACGGCCCAGACUCCUACGGGAGGCAGCAGUGGGGAAUAUUGCACAAUGGGCGCAAGCCUGAUGCAGCGACGCCGCGUGAGGGAUGGAGGCCUUCGGGUUGUGAACCUCUUUCGCCAGUGAAGCAGGCCUGCUCCUUGUGGGUGGGUUGACGGUAGCUGGAUAAGAAGCGCCGGCUAACUACGUG
rnacentral:rRNA from 1 species